rnacentral:lncRNA from 1 species
AGCCGUGAGUGAUAAGACGAGGCGCGAUCGGUCAACCAAUAUAGCCGAUCGUCGCCCGCAGAUCGUCAUCAGUCACUGGUUUAGCGUAAAGGAGACCGCGUCGAUCGUCAACCCGUCAACUUUUCCGCCGGACGAUCGACCUCAGGAAGAAGUUUUGUUCGAGGAUUUUUGUGGUGAAAACCGUCUCACCAGUGAGGAAGAACAAGGCGUGGAAUAAUAACCGCACUGGAGUGCGAGGUGCCGCGACACCGUAAAUUGGUCGUGGUGGAGAGUGAGGUGGCGUCUACGUUCAGCAUGGAUAGCAUGGCCAUGCUGGAGUAGUUAGGAGUACUUGAGAUCGGCCUUCAUUUCCUGUUUCGCAAGCUAAAUUCCAUCAUGGCUGGAGCCGUGGUGUGGAGCAGUGCGCUGCUGUGCAUUCCUGCCGACUGGACGGCGGGGCAAAUGCACCGGAUGGCCGGCGUUCUCGCCGGUGACCAAGCUGGGUUCUGCCCGGGCAGCAACGUUGUUCCGGAUCGUCGAGGGAUACACGGGGGUCACACACACACAGGUUUACACCCGCAACUCUAGUUUUAAGGACGCCAACUAGGUUUAGUUCGCCAAUAUAGAUGUAAGUACGCUAAAA